rnacentral:rRNA from 1 species
UACGUAGGGUGCAAGCGUUAAUCGGAAUUACUGGGCGUAAAGCGUGCGCAGGCGGCUUUGCAAGACAGAUGUGAAAUCCCCGGGCUUAACCUGGGAACUGCAUUUGUGACUGCAUGGCUGGAGUGCGGCAGAGGGGGAUGGAAUUCCGCGUGUAGCAGUGAAAUGCGUAGAUAUGCGGAGGAACACCGAUGGCGAAGGCGACUCACUGGGUCUUUACUGACGCUGAUGCACGAAAGCUAGGGUAGCAAACGGG